rnacentral:rRNA from 1 species
GAUGAACGCUAGCGAUAGGCUUAACACAUGCAAGUCGAGGGGCAGCAUGGUCUUAGCUUGCUAAGACUGAUGGCGACCGGCGCACGGGUGCGUAACGCGUAUGCAACUUGCCUCACAGAGGGGGAUAACCCGUCGAAAGACGGACUAAUACCGCGUACACUCCAUCUUGGGCAUCCAAGGUAGAGGAAAUGAAAUUCGCUGUGAGAUAGGCAUGCGUCCCAUUAGCUAGUUGGUGAGGUAACGGCUCACCAAGGCGACGAUGGGUAGGGGAACUGAGAGGUUGAACCCCCACACUGGUACUGAGACACGGACCAGACGACUACGGGAGGCAGCAGUGAGGAAUAUUGGUCAAUGGGCGAGAGCCUGAACCAGCCAAGUCGCGUGAAGGAUGACUGUCUUAUGGAUUGUAAACUUCUUUUAUACGGGAAUAACAAGAGUCACGUGUGACUCCCUGCAUGUACUGUAUGAAUAAGCAUCGGCUAACUCCGUG